rfam:Phormidium ambiguum IAM M-71 NIES-2119_Scaffold_33, whole genome shotgun sequence.
GCGGAGACGCAUGUUUCCGUUCACUCCUCACACCACACUCCGCCCGGACUAAUGUUCGGGCGGUU